rnacentral:lncRNA from 1 species
ACAAAUCUAACCUCACCAUAGGGCUUAGCUUGAAAGCCAUCUCCAAUAUGAGAAUUGUUAAGUUCAUAAUUCUUUGAUGUUUUUGCUUUUCUUAUGGAGCUAAUAAUCACCAUCAUCAAUAACCAACAAUCAAAAAUCCCAAAAUGAAAAACGAUAACAUGAGAUAACCAUCCUCGUUCUUCCCCUGCUCUGAAACUGAAAAUAAUGUACUUCAGUAAUUACAAACACCAAAAAAAUUAGACGUUAAGCAAAAAAUUUCAAUCUAAAGUAGUUGUUUAUGAGUCAAUCUAAAGCUUCUUCUAUACAAACAACAAAAUCUCAGGAUACAUUUUAAUUGAUUAUAAAAUCACCUGAUUUGUAGACGACUUGGGAAAGAUGUUUGAUUUCUUGUGUUUUGAAUGGAAAUUUGAAGGCUGAUGCUGCUGAUGUUGAGGGAUGGUCAUGAUCAACGGAGGAGGUGUCAAUUAAUAUGGAGAUAUAAGAGAACAGGAGGUGGAGGCGUCUGGAUGAAGAAGAAAACGAAGAGUUACACUUUGGGAAAACAGGAUUUAGUUAACCUUAGCCCACAAUUUAAGGCUCUUCUUCACCACUAAAGACUGCUUCAUCGAUAAUGUUGGCACAAAAAAGUGCCAAAAUCGAAGACUUAUAUGGCGGGAAUGGAGAUCGUAGGUGGUGUAGUUACCGGUUCAGAUGGGAGCACAAUCCUUAAUUAUGAAAGGAACCACCAGAGGCAAUUGAGUCAUGGGUAGGUUGAGAACCCGAUUGCUCCAGAAGAACCGCCGACUGUGAGGAACCUGGAGAGAAGAAGGAGGAAUCGUGGGACGACCGAAGACGGAAGGGUGAACGAUUAUUGUAAAUAGAGAGUUAUUAGGCUGGAGAGUGGUGCUGUUCCGGGAAGUGCGGUUUAGCCAUAAGCAGCGAACACCUUUUGGACGCCGUUUGGCUGCGCCUUGUGAUCCGGUGUAGAUAAUUUGACUGUUU